UCUCCGUAGGUGAACCUGCGGAGGGAUCACUACAGAGUUCAUGCCCUACCGGGUAGAUCUCCCACCCUAUGUUAUUAUUACUUUGUUGCUUUGGCGGGCCGUUAGGCUCCGGCCCGACUACCGGCCCCGGCUGGUAAGCGCCCGCCAGAGGACCCAAAACCCUGAAUAUUAGUGUCGUCUGAAUACUAUAUAAUAGUUAAAACUUUCAACAACGGAUCUCUUGGUUCUG
rnacentral:misc_RNA from 1 species